rnacentral:lncRNA from 1 species
GUGAAGCCAGAACGUCAGAGCAAGGGAACUGCCAGACAAAGCAAAGAAAAUGAAGAUUUCUGUCUUGGGAAUUGAACCUUCAAUGUCUUAUUGUAUAAGGCCUGUGUGCACAGUCUGAGGAUCUGAUGAAAGCCAAACGACCAAAAUCCAGGAAGAGUGCUCAGUUCGUGGAUUUUCUCAUUUGCUUUCGUAGAUAUGAGAGAUUGUGUUGCUCAGGUGUUCAAGCUGGCACUGAGUGUAACCCCCAUGGUGGCAAGCUCCCCUGCUCCUUUCAGGUGUUUUGCUGGUGGGAUCAUCCAUGUUGCAGGAGACUCUCUGAGCCCCAGCAAGCAGUAAAUAGAACAAACAGAACCCGUGUUACAGGCAUGGUCAACUGCACUGGUCGCACAGCCCUAGCAGAGCAGAGUCACUGCCACCCUCACGUAGGCAGUGACAUGGCGCAGGGGAUUACCCACCCUGGGGUCCUCCCAGUGAUACCUGGACAAGUCAGCAGCACACGGCAGCAGCAGCAGGGAGAAGUGAUGGGAGCACUUGCACCGUUUACCUGUGCCUCAGAGCAGCCACAGCAAGGGACCAGGACAGGCUGAUGCACCAAGGACACAUUGACUUGCUCACCUCCUGCACUGUUGGAAUUAGUUUUGCAGUUAAUAUACGCACUGAUGUCAAAUAAAAUGAAACCGUUAUGAUGUUGUGAGUUGCCU